UAAUCGCAGGUCAGCAUACUGCGGUGAAUACGUUCCCGGGUCUUGUACACACCGCCCGUCACACCAUGGGAGCCGGAAAUGCCCGAAGCCAGUGACCCAACCUUAGGGAGGGAGCUGUCGAAGGUGGAGCCGGUAACUGGGGUGAAGUCGUAACAAGGUACC
rnacentral:rRNA from 1 species